UGGGAGCGAGGGACUUGGAGUCGGACAGACCCCAGUUCACACGCUGUCCCCACUCCUUACUAGCUGUGUGACUCUGGAUGGGCCACGCACGGAACCUCUGUGGGACCCAGGCUUCUCGUUUGUGAAAAUAGUAACCGCACGUAGCUGUCGAUCAGAGUGUCUGUUCAGCAAGAGAAAAGGCAGGGGGUCUCAUGCCGGGUCCCCAUCACUCCGGCCCACAGCGUGAGGUUGUCGGUGGCCCGGCAGCUCUACGUGGGGAAGUAUCCAGCUAAUAAGUGGAUGAACCGGAAGGCCCUGGGAGGCAGUCUGUCAUGAAGAAGGGUUCAGGACCUCUCAGAAAGAAGGAGGUCAUUGCUGAGUACAGCCUGCUCCUUUUACAGAUGGGAAGACUCGCGCCCAGCGAGGGCAGAGCCAGGAGGACUCAAGACCAGGCUUUCUAGCUCCUGCCUCCCCAGGAAGGCCAGCCCCCGGUUCCUUAUGACCUAUCUCUUGCCCUCAGCUCUGGUGAAUAGCUUCCAGGAGGGCGGGGCAACCCUCCUCCCUGCCAGGGAGCUAGAGACCAGGGUGGAAGUCUCUCAGCAGGAUCCUGUUUGGACCCAGGAGGCUGCAGCCCCACCAGGACAGCAGAAGCAGAACAGGGGUUUUGUCCUUCCCGACAGCCUGUGUGUCGGCUGUUCCCGGCCGGGACUCAGCUGGGCUCAGCUGGCUGGCACAGAGAAGCCUUGUUUCCUUGAAUACAAAACCGGCAGCUUUCUCUCUCCCCGCCAGGGACCCCCCACCACUGCGGGCGGCACUUCCUUCCCUAGAAGGGCAGCUCCCUGGCCCCUUCCUGCCCCCUACACCGGCGGUCAGUCGUGCCAAGAGCUGGUUUGCAGGGGUGUUGGGAGGGCUUAAGUUCCCCCCUAACUUCAUCAACAUCAACCUUGUCAAACUAACACCCAAAAGCAGCCUCUCUAGCAAGUGAGUCCGCCUGCAAAUGCAGCUUCAAGGCCAUUGCUCUGAUCCCGCGCCCUUCUGAUCAAGCCGCAGCCUCCCAGGUCCCAGAUCAUUUUGGGGGUGCAUGGGUUCUCCCAAACAGCUCCGUCCUUUUUUUUUUUUUUUUUCUGGCGGGGUGUAGGAAUGCUGUGGAAGCCCAAGAGGAGGAGGAUUCUGGGAGAGAGACACGGGACGGUGGUGGGUCCACAAGGUGGAAAAUCAGCCACGCACAUGGAAGGGGGUGUUGGCAAAGUGCAUUUUCCCACACGGAAGCAGAUGUUUGUGAUGGAAAACCCAGAAGGAGGAACGUGGUUUUUAGAGUCAUAGACCUGAGUUCAGAUCCUGGCUCCGUCAUUUUCUAGCUGUGUGGUCUCGGCAAGUUAUUUAACUCUUCCGUGCCCAGACUGCUCAGCUGUGCCACGGUGGUGAUACUUCUAGUCGUGGGGAUGCUGGGUGGAAUCGAGGAGUUAGUACCUAGCCACUAUUGACGCAGGGAUCAUGGCUGCAUUUAAACGAUCUCCCCCCCCCCCCCCCCCCCCCCCGCCCCGAACUCCCUGCCCCCAAGGCAGGGGGCAGGCUCAACAGGGAAAUUCCAGACAGUGAAGCUAUCUAUACCUAGCCCUGGGCUCAAGGAGCUUUCUAUCAGUUUGGGUUGGAAUCCUGGAAAUCCUGCUCUCCAGAUGGUGCCAGCCUUUGGCGAGGAAGAAACUUUAGAAGAACUCCCGACAAAGACCCUGGAGUCAAAGAAGCAGGCUCCUCAGGGCCCGGAGGAGGGUUAAGGACUCAGUCCCCCGCCCCAGGCUGACCCUUGGAGAAGUAUGGGGCUCUCAGCCAUCCAGGUCUGGGAAACAAAGCCCUCUUCCCCUGUGUUGGGGCCAAAGGCAGAAGCAGCAGCAGCAUCGAGAAGUGGGAAAGAGCCUUUCUCAAGCUGUAGGGGUUGCAAAACACCCUGUUUUUGGGCUUCCUGCUUGGGCGCACAGCCCCAUCCUGCCCUGCCAAGGUGUGCCAGCACCUCUCCACUCCAGACCAUACCCUGGGCUGUUCCCCCACCAGAAAAGGGGCUGGGCAACAACAGGUGGGGAAGGGUACCAAAGGGAAGGGGGCUGAGCGCUUUCACAACACUCUACCACUAGCGCCCCCCCCCUGCCCCCCCCCCCCCCCACUGUGGUUGUGAAGAGGUUGACUGUCCGUCUCAGUCCCAACUGGAUGUUCUCAGGGAUGGACCAGAAGGGGACCAUUUAGUCCCUUCACAGAGGUUUUAAGUGUUUUUUUUGGGGGGGGGGUGGGAGGGCUGAGCCGCAGGCCUGGGGGUGCCUGUUCAAUCUGCUAAGGGCACAAUGUGUGGAAUUAGAGGAAAAGGGAGGGGUGAGAA